rnacentral:rRNA from 1 species
AAUGAACGCUGGCGGCAUGCCUAACACAUGCAAGUCGAACGAAAGGACGAGAAGUUUGCUCCCCUGAGGGUAGCGGGGGACGGGAGCGUAACACAUGGAUAACCUACCUCUCCGACUGGGGUGAUAACGGGAAACAAGGUCUACUAACGGAUAAUAUUUCGAACCGGAGUGUGCAAGAGUUAUAGACGGUCUUUGUGACACUAAUAGCCGGAUCCGCGCUGCAUUAGUUAGUUGGUAAGGUAAAGGCUUAGCAAGGCAACGAUGCAUAGCCGACCUGAGAGGGUGAUCGGCCACACUGGAACUGAGACACGGUCCAGACUCCUACGGGAGGCAGCAGUAGGGAAUCUUCCGCAAUGGGCGAAAGCCUGACGGAGCAACGCCGCGUGAGUGAUGAAGGUCUUCGGAUCGUAAAACUCUGUUAUUAGGGAAGAACAUAUGUGUAAGUAACUGUGCACAUCUUGACGGUACCUAAACAGAAAGCCACGGCUAACUACGUG